rnacentral:rRNA from 1 species
UACAGAGGGUGCAAGCGUUAAUCGGAAUUACUGGGCGUAAAGCGCGUGUAGGCGGUCCGGUAAGUCCGCUGUGAAAGUCGGGGGUCAACCUCGGAUGCCGGUGGAUACUGUCGGGCUUGAGUACGGAAGAGGCGAGUGGAAUUCCUGGUGUAGCGGUGAAAUGCGCAGAUAUCAGGAAGAACACCCGUGGCGAAGGCGGGUCUCUGGACAGUUC